rnacentral:rRNA from 1 species
AAUUCUCAACUUCAAUAGCUUUUACUAGCUUAUUGAUGCUUGGAUGUGGGAGCUUGCUGGCGUCUUAGAUGUUCGGCUCUCCUUAAAGUUAUUAGUGGAAACCUCUUUGUUGGUUUAUUCCUUAGUGUGAUAAUUAUCUACGCUAUGAAUAAUCUAAUGUUCCAUUGAGACUUGAGAUUUCUCAGUAGAAAUACUGGUCUGGGUACUGCAAUUAAAUUUGCUGUAUCUGUAAUCUCUCAGUAGCAAUACUGGUUUGGGCAUUGCAAUUAAAUUUGCUUUACCUGUAAGUCUCAGAGGAAAAGAAAUGUUCUGCUUUCUAACCGUCUAUGUAUAUAGACAAUUUAUUGACUAUUUGACCUCAAAUCAGGUAGGACUACCCGCUGAACUUAAGCAUAUCAAUAAGCGGAGGAAAAGAAACUAACAAGGAUUCCCCUAGUAACUGCGAGUGAAGAGGGAAAAGCUCAAAUUUAAAAUCUGGCAGUCUUUGAUUGUCCGAGUUGAAUUAGAGAAGNUACCCCGG